GCCGGUGCCCCGUCGGCGCCGAAGUCGGGUCUGGGACCUGCCUUCGGCGUGCUCGCGGUUUCCACUCUCACCACCCCAUUCCUCCCUCCCUCAUUUUUGUCUCUGUCUCCCACUCCGCACAGGUACCGAGAACUUUCUAGGGAGCAGAGCUUCUGAGGCUGCCCGCAUCCUGCUGCUCCGUUAGUGUCUGAGUCACUGAGUUAGUGGUUGUCGAAGUGUCGCCCAGAUCAACUGUAGAUCUCCGAGCCCCGCGAGCCCAGCCAUAGGCCCCGCGUCGCCGCAGCCUCCCGGCGAGGCCCGGAUACAGAAUGCUGGGGGCGGCGUCCAGAGAUGGAGGCCUAAAUGCGCACUGCUCGAGCCUGGUGGAGCCAGAAUUAAGGUGUUCUUGAAGUGUCCGAGGGGGAGGAGCUGCCCGCAGGACUUGAGGCCCUGGUACCCGGAGUGCCGGCUUCAGCGCUUCGGAAUCUUCACGCGUUAUCUGGGAGAAUCCCCAAGGUGUGGCAUUGUUGCCUGUUCCGGAGGAGACUCUCCCAGUAGUCGCCCCAAGGUCCGAGGCAGCGAGUAUCCCAAUAGAGCCCACCUCAGCUUGCUGAGCGCCCGUAGCUGCAGAACCUGUGGCCCCUACCACGCGUUCCAGAAAGCCCCUCUAUUUGUGCACACUUUCCACAGCCAACCUAGUAGUAAUAUUUAUUUCCUUAUCUAGAAAUAUUGUAUCCGUGCAGUGGCUCAAUUAUCUGCACGCCUGCUAUUCUUAAAUGUAUUUAUAUCACUUCUGCCACGCCGCAGAUAUUUAAAGAGGUACACAUACCGCGGUACACCUCGACGAUGCGGAACUCACUCUGUCUGUAGGAUAUAUUCACUGGGUGGUUAUUUGGACGUAAGCGCUAUCUCGAGCCCAGAUUACACCCAAGCAGAGGCUGUAAAAUGACACUUGCUCCAGAAUUUUCCCAACUUAGCUAUAUGUGCACACACCGAGAAUUUAAUACAAUUUUAUAUCCCUCUACAUAUCUAAAUAUUCAGAUGUUAUGUUACAUGCCCUUGAAGCCGGAAGCGAUCCUGCAGUUCACACUGGACUUGGAGCUGUUUGUAUAAUUUUCAUCACCUUGCACUUACAGAUGAAUCUUAAUCUAAUAAAUUCAACCUUGUCGUUUUUAG
ensembl:lncRNA